UACAGAGGGUGCGAGCGUUAAUCGGAGUAACUGGGCGUAAAGGGCACGUAGGCGGUUAUAUUAGUCUGAUGUGAAAGACCUGGGCUUAACCUGGGAUGUGCAUUGGAAACGGUAUGGCUAGAGUAUGGGAGAGGGAAGUGGAAUUUCCGGUGUAGCGGUGAAAUGCGUAGAGAUCGGAAAGAACACUCGUGGCGAAGGCGGCUUUCUGGCCCAAAAACUGACGCUGAGGUGCGAAAGCGUGGGGAGCAAACAGG
rnacentral:rRNA from 1 species